rnacentral:rRNA from 1 species
CUACGUAGGGUGCGAGCGUUAAUCGGAAUUACUGGGCGUAAAGCGUGCGCAGGCGGUUGUGCAAGACAGAUGUGAAAUCCCCGGGCUUAACAUGGGAACUGCAUUUGUGACUGCACGGCUAGAGUACGGCAGAGGGGGAUGGAAUUCCGCGUGUAGCAGUGAAAUGCGUAGAUAUGCGGAGGAACACCGAUGGCGAAGGCAGUCCCCUGGGCCUGUACUGACGCUCAUGCACGAAAGCGUGGGGAGCAAACAGGAUUAGAUACCCUGGUAGUCCACGCCCUAAACGAUGUCAACUGGUUGUUGGACGGCUUGCUGUUCAGUAACGAAGCUAACGCGUGAAGUCGACCGCCUGGGGAGUACGGCCGCAAGGUUGAA